GUUUUCCUGGUGCCCGCAAGGCUCAGCGUGCAGAGCAGCUCUUGGCGUGCUCCUUGCAGGAGGAUCACCUCGACUCAGCUGUUCUCAGCUUACAGCGGGUGUCCUUCUGUUUCUCUAUUUUCUUGCAGAGUCCGUGGACUCGUGCAGGUGUCCUGUUUUUGCCCUUUUUACUUGCACAGUCUCAGGACUUGUGCAAGUGGGGUUUUUUCUAUUUUUGUUUCCCGGCCUACGGACUCGAGCAGCCCUGCUCAAAGGAUGGAGGCAGUCCGUAGAGCAGUCAGCAGCGCCUUCUCAUUGGCGGCUUCUCGGAAAGCUCUUCGUCGUUUGGCUGAUCGCCUCAGAGGUGGAAGGAGUCAAGCACGCCCUUCGGUCCCGCUAGGCGAGGUCCUUGCCAGUCAGGACUCCUGGGCCCAGGCAGGAAAGGCGGAGGGGCAGGAGAGCACAGAUCGAGUGCGUGGUGCUCAGGAG